UACGUAGGGUGCGAGCGUUGUCCGGAAUUACUGGGCGUAAAGAGUUCGUAGGCGGUUCGGUAAGUCCGCUGUGAAAGUCGGGGGCUCAACCCUCGGAUGCCGGUGGAUACUGUCGGACUAGAGUACGGAAGAGGCGAGUGGAAUUCCUGGUGUAGCGGUGAAAUGCGCAGAUAUCAGGAGGAACACCGAUUGCGAAGGCAGCUCGCUGGGACGUUACUGACGCUGAGACGCGAAAGCGUGGGGAGCAAACAGG
rnacentral:rRNA from 1 species